rnacentral:tRNA from 1 species
UGGCUCAGUGGUUAAGAGCACUGGCUGCUCUUCCAGAGGACCUGGGUUCAACUCCCAG